UUAAAUUUUAUUUUUUCAAUCAUGGUUUUUUUGGUACAUCACUUUUCACAUAGUACAUUUCAUUUCCCUCACUUCCCUUCGCCGACCCGUUUGCCGUUCGUCAUACCCUUUUUCGUUCGUGAUAGCAUUCGAUUACCGUUCUCUGUUCUCGAUCUGUUCCUCUUGUCGAUCUGUUCAUCGUCGUUCGUAGUUCGUUUGGAUUUCUCUCUCAUCUCACUGCAAAAUCGUCUUUAUUGACAGUGGAGGAAAUAGAUUUCACAUUCGUCCUGCUCAUUCUGAUAUAGGCUCUUUAUCAAAUUAGUGUUGAUGGAAAGCAUUAUGCGAAUAAGUUGCUGGUCCUAACGAGGAUGAAGAUCCAGAAGAGGCUGAAUUGAAGAAGGAAGCUUUGAAGGCUAGGCAAUAAAUAGCUUAUAAGCAGUGAUGGUUAACAAGUGUUUCUGACAUUAAACACUUCAGCUAUAGAUGUACAGAGGAUAUACUUUUGUAGCAAUGAGUGCGUUUAACGAUGUUAUUUCUUCUAAUUCAGCCCCUGCUUUUUGAAGAGGUAA